UACGUAGGGACCAAGCGUUGUUCGGAUUUACUGGGCGUAAAGGGCGCGUAGGCGGCAAUUCAAGUCACUUGUGAAAUCUCUGAGCUUAACUCAGAACGGUCAAGUGAUACUGCUUUGCUAGAGUGCAGAAGGGGCAACCGGAAUUCUUGGUGUAGCGGUGAAAUGCGUAGAUAUCAAGAGGAACACCGGAGGUGAAGACGGGUGCUGGGCUGACACGUGACGUGAGCGCGAAAGCUAGG
rnacentral:rRNA from 1 species